rnacentral:rRNA from 1 species
UACGGGGGGAGCAAGCGUUGUUCGGAUUUACUGGGCGUAAAGGGCGCGUAGGCGGUCAGCACAAGUCAGUUGUGAAAUCUCCGGGCUUAACUCGGAAAGGUCAACUGAUACUGUGCGACUAGAGUGCGGAAGGGGCAACUGGAAUUCUCGGUGUAGCGGUGAAAUGCGUAGAUAUCGGGAGGAACACCUGUGGCGAAAGCGGCGCACUGGACCACAACUGACGCUGAGGCGCGAAAGCUAGGGGAGCAAACAGG